AGGUCCCAAAGAGUAGAAAUUGGCUAGUUGUAUAGUCUUUGAUUGGAUUAUUAGAGAUGCUGAAGAAAAAAUUUGAUUCUUUUGUUUUAAGGAGAUAUGACGUUUACUGUAGUGAAGAUCAUACAUUAAUUAUCCUAUGCUAGAGAUGUUAUGGAAAGAUAAACUUCAAAAAAUUGCUAGUCGCCAACGGCGUAUGGAGUUCCCAGAUGGUCACCCAUUUACACAAACUAAUUAUCCAAUUACAGAGAAGACUGUGUUCCGUAACGAUAGAGUCGUAAUCAAGCCUUUGCUAGCUAGAAUUGCAAUGGUGAACAUCGAAGUUAGGCGCAUCAGUGACUGGUUGCGUGUCUGACAUGGAAUGAUGAUUCUACUGAACAGUGAUCUUGGCUGUUCCAGUGUUGCUUGAGAGCAUGCGACUAUGCCCAUUCUAUCGAUAGUCGAAGAUUAAGUUUCAAAUUACAGGUUUUUAGAAUAAUUACCUUCAAAGAAAUGCUUAUAUCUUUCUUUUCAAAGAUCAAGUCACUGCAAAAACACGUGAGCUUCUUACAAAUGGGACUUGAAUCGGCAUACACCCACACACAUAUAACCGAGUUAUAAUAUUAUGUUGGCUAAAAAGUUCGUUCGGUUUAUGGUGGUGUUUGUUUUAACUUGGCGAAGACUUUUACAAACCCAGUAUCAUGAAUUUGCCCAAAAGAUAGUAAAAGAUCAUAUAACAGAAUGGACAAUAUAUUAUAGAAUAAAUAUACUUUCAUGUCUAAGAAAAAUCUUAGACUUAAUACAUAUAAUAAUAACCGAAUCUAGGAUCUAGGAUCCUAGCAUCUAGGAUAUAUACAAAUAUUAUAUAAAAGAACAAUUCUGAUCUUCGAUUCAAUUGGAAUUAUUUCCAAAAGGUCACACUUGGACGACUGCUAAUUUGGUUGCCUCUUUUUUACUAAUUCUUCUCGAAAACAAUUAAACAUAAAAUAAAUAAUCGAACUCGUGUAGAAAACUACGAUUGCUAAAUUGUUCAAAGAAAACGUAACCAACGUUAUCGUCGUCUGUAAUAACUGAACGAAAAAAGUGUGUCGACCUCCAACACAGUGACAUCAACCACGCAAGAUGUGAAAUUGAAUAUCACUGGUCAAAAUUGACCCAGCUCGAAAAAUUCCUAAAGUCACGCGUACUGUUUUCGUGUCUCCAGGUAAACGUAACCCCGUGACGCUUCCACGGACCGUUUCAGCGCGGAUAUUCCAAGUUUUCGAUCAGCACGAGCUGAUCGGCUUUUUGCCACGGCUGCUUUUUGCGCGAUCAUCGCCACCUUCGUCACGGCCACGCCCGGGCACGUGAGGCACGUGUACUCCAACACGGUGUUACAGGUGUUUGCCCAUCCUCGGACGUCAAGGAUUCUUUUACGCUCUUUCGGGCUCAGUCUAUUAACGCCUGCUGCCUAGCAACUUCUUGAACUCCGAACUACGGUGACUCAUGUUUUAUUUAAUUCCAUUCGGUUCGCUGCUCGAAUUCCUACCAUCGGGUUCCUCUUCGUUUUCUACGGUUCGCUUCGACACAGUACACUGUUCCCAUGGCUCUCAGCUUCUUUUUUCCUCUUAGCUUUUUCCAGCCCUCUCUCCUUUUUUUUCUCUCCAGUGUCGUCGAAAGAGUCGUAACUUCGUUAAGCGUUUUUACCAGGAAUCGGUAGCCAGCGGAACUCGACGAUUUGAAACACAAAAUUGCCUUGGGUUUUAUUAACGGGUGAAAGAAAGGUUUUAGGUGGAUUAUUCCGUGGAACAAAUCGUCGAAAGUUUUAGAAAACGGAGUUGUAGGAGAGGGCAUGAUAGUAUUCUUGCUGUUGGGUUUGUUUUGGGGACAGUUCGAUACCGGGGGCCUAUGAUGAUUUCUUCGCGUAGUCGACGCUUCGAAUUAGGCUCUUUGAAAUCUUUUGUGGAUAGCGUGGUGUAAAUGAAAUUUUUCAAACGCGCAGUGCAGACAUAUUGUUUUUGUGGGAUCUCAUAGUAGGAGCGGAUAAAACGUUUUGGUGCCUUGAGGAUUAGUAUACUGUGUUAUCCUUGGUUUUUUUUAGGUGGAAAUUAGGUUAAAAGACUUUCAUUUAAGCGUAUAUUAAAUCUACUAUCAUGUCGGAAUUAACCCUUUGCACUCGAGGCAUUCUAUUGCCACGAAUCUAAGCUUACAUUGACUUCGUAGAUGUAGUUACUUUGAGAUUUAAAAAUCAGGUCACCUUUACCUCACCGACAAUCAUUUUAUUGACAUUUUGAGAUCCAAAGAAAUUAAACCUCAAUAAACGUUAUUGUUGAUUGAUUCGCUGCGUGAAAUCUAGUGGCGACCGAGAGUCACCUAUCGAGUGCAAAGGGUUAAUAAGUUUGGAUCUCUGUAACGAUUCCCAAUUUAUUCGACGAAACUUGCACAUUUACACUAAUCAACAAAGUAUAUCCACUUCUCAAUUAUAAUUCUACUAAACUACGCCUAGAAUUACCACUUGUAUUUCCGUCCCAAUUAAAUUUCUCAUCAACAAAAUAACUAUUCAAUGCGCGUACGCCAUGGCAGAGAAUUUCGAAACGUAGAAAGUGGAUAAUAAGCGUAAUGUUUAAUUCCGUGGAUGGUCGAAUUGCUUUCCUGGCACUUUUACCAGACUCUUGGAGGCUCCUCGCCGGCGAUAGGAGCGUUAAAUAAUUUCUGCGGAAUGACGGAAAGUACUUUAAGCCAGUGCUAUCUUCGCGUUCGCGGCAACGAACGUACGAGAAGAAUCGUUCGACAAGAAACCGAUGAAGGGUUUAUCUUAAUCCACGGUUCACCGAGCAGACGAGCUCCUUGCCAAUCCCCAUUGACCACCCCUUCGAUCGACUGUACCCCCUGCACACCCUUUUGCCAUAACCGAUCACACUUCGCUUGUUUUACUAGCCACUUUUUACCCACUGACAAACUUGCAACCAGAAUCACGUCCUUCACCCAUGCGCGAUAACAUAAUGUUACUCCCAUAACGUUCAUUCUUGGAUAGACUCUCUACACACUAUUGUGUGUUGGUACAUUGUUUCACUGAAUCCAAAGGGGAUACAAGCGUUCGGAGGCUCGUCUGUCCCGUGACUUUUACUCUAAGAUUAACCUUCUAUGGAUCUGGCUAACUUUCAGGUCACAUGUUAAUAUAUCAGCAUUUUACCAAAUGAUUUUAAUCUUUUCACAAAAUGACGUAUAUGUCUUAAUUAUAUACUAUCUCUGAUAAUCACUAAUAAUAUUAAUGAUGGUUGACAGCACCAACAAUUUGAAAUAUUAAAAUAAAUGCCUUGCAAGUUGUUUGCAGAAAACAAAAAUUCGGUCCAUAGAGGAUUAAGGUGCUUUCAGGUGCUAUGCUAUUAAUAUUUCUGGACUGGUAUUAUUUUAGAUAUAUUGAGAUUUUAUUUUGCUUGUAAUUUUGUACUCUUUGUUCAAUAGCAAUCUCAAUCUCUCUAUCAUCGCACUAUCAAUAUCAAGAAUAAAUGAUAUUGGGUACUUCAAUACGUUGUGAGAUGUUUCACUUAAAAUACUUAUGAAAAAGAAAUUAAAUCGUUUUGGGGCAGAAAUUAAAUUCAAUGUGGAAAGAAUUGUAGUGGUUAUGUUGUUAAAAUAAUUGUAGUGGUGCUAUGAGAUUCUCUAUAAAAGAUAAAGAGUACGAGUGUGUAAAUUGUUUCAUUUCUCUUCUUCUUUAUUCAGGAAUAUCACGGAAUUUAAAUCUUCACACGUAAUAAAAUUAAAUUCUAUGUAAAAUCAAUUUUAGUGAGAACCACAAGCAAUCAAAAUCUAAUUUCUGAUACUCUUAUCAGAUUCUCCAUAAAUAAUAAAGUGUAUAAAUCUGAAAAUAGUACCAUUUCUUUUCUUUAUUAUUCCAGAAUAUCACAGAAAUUAAAUCUUCAUGCAAAAUGAAAUAAAAUUCCAUGUAAAAUUAAUUUCAGUAGCCGAUACGUUACUAAAAUCUAGCGUCCAAAAU